rnacentral:rRNA from 1 species
AGCCCAGCGCGUAGCCUGCAGGCACGCCCCACUAGAUGGGUCACGGGCCUGCGAGGGAUGCCGCGUAUGGGAGGAAUCGUGGGGGAGCUCGCGCGACCUGAAGUAUUUAUUGAAUGUUGUCUCAUUGCCCAUAGAGGGUGUAAGGCCCGUAAGGUCGUCGCGUCGCGUCCCUCGCCGGUUCCUCUCGAGAGUCGGGUUGCUUGAAAAUGCAGCCCUAAGUAGGUGGUAAACUCCAUCUAAGGCUAAAUAUUCCCACGAGACCGAUAGCGUACAAGUACCGCGAGGGAAAGUUGAAAAGAACUUUGAAGAGAGAGUUCAAAAGAGCGUGAAACUACCACGAGGUUAAAGCGAGUGAGCGUUCGUAUCCGAACGGCUGGUAUUCAACCUGCCCCGGACGUUGGCGGCGGAGGGUCGCAAAGCGUACUGAACGGAUCUCCCUUGAGGCCGCGGACUUCGUGUCCCGGUCUCUCGAGGCGACCGGCGUUUCCUCCGUGCGCGCGGAAGGGGGGUGCUCUUCUGGCCGAAGUAGGGCGUCGCGGCCGUUCGAGAGGUGUCGAUGACACGAGGGUCAGGGAAACCGCUUCUUUCAGUUUCGGAUCGGCGUCGUUGUCGUCUAUCAAGGCGGCGGCGGUAGCGCCCCCGUUUCGCGGGAUUAGCGGGGCCGCCUCGUUCCAGUCUGACGGCCUUUCGGACGGUGAAAUCAUGACAAAAUCGCGCCUGUGACGGGGUCGGCGUCCUCUCCCUCUUCUCCUACGGAGAAGAGGC